AUCGAUGAAGAACGCAGCGAAAUGCGAUAAGUAAUGUGAAUUGCAGAAUUCAGUGAAUCAUCGAAUCUUUGAACGCACAUUGCGCCCUCUGGUAUUCCGGGGGGCAUGCCUGUUCGAGCGUCAUUACACCACUCAAGCUCUGCUUGGUAUUAGGUCUCACCUGCUAAAGGCGGGCCGUAAAAUCAGUGGCGGUGCCAUCUGGCUUCAAGCUUAGUAAUUUUUCUAGCUUAGGAGUACCAGGUGCGUGCCUGCCAGCAACCCCAAUUUUUUUAAGGUUGACCUCGGAUCAGGUAGGGAUACCCGCUGAACUUAAGCAUAUCAAUAAGCGGAGGAAAAGAAACCAACAGGGAUUGCCUCAGUAACGGCGAGUGAAGCGGCAACAGCUCAAAUUUGAAAUCUGGCCUUUGGUCCGAGUUGUAAUUUGUAGAGGAUGUUUCGAGCAUGGUCCGGUCUAAGUUCCUUGGAACAGGACGUCAUAGAGGGUGAGAAUCCCGUAUGCGACUGGGUGCCUAAGCUCAUGUGAAGCUCCUUCAACGAGUCGAGUUGUUUGGGAAUGCAGCUCAAAAUGGGUGGUAAAUUUCAUCUAAAGCUAAAUAUUGGCCAGAGACCGAUAGCGCACAAGUAGAGUGAUCGAAAGAUGAAAAGCACUUUGGAAAGAGAGUUAAACAGUACGUGAAAUUGUUGAAAGGGAAGCGCUUGCAACCAGACUUGCAUGCAGUUAAUCAUCCGGCGUUUUCACCGGUGCACUUGAUUGUAUUCAGGCCAGCAUCGGUUUCAGUGGUUGGAAAAAGACCUUGGGAAUGUAGCUUCUUUCGGGGAGUGUUAUAGCCCUCGGUGUAAUGCAGCCUACUGGGACCGAGGACCGCGCUUCGGCUAGGAUGCUGGCGUAAUGGUUGUAAGCGACCCGUCUUGAAACACGGAAGGG
rnacentral:rRNA from 1 species